UGCGACCCCAGGUCAGGAGGGACUACCCACUGAGUUUAAGCAUAUCA
rnacentral:rRNA from 1 species